CUCAACCGUGGAAUGCCAUAGGAUACUGCCGAGCUUGAGACGGGUAGAGGCGAGUGGAAUUCCCGGUGUAGCGGUGGAAUGCGUAGAUAUCGGGAAGAACACCAGCGGCGAAGGCGGCUCGCUGGGCCCGUUCUGACGCUCAGGCCCGAAAGCGUGGGGAGCAAACAGGAUUAGAUACCCUGGUAGUCCACGCCGUAAACGCUGGGCACUAGAUGCUGGGAAGUGUGACCUUUUCGGUGUCGUAGCUAACGCGUUAAGUGCCCCGCCUGGGGAGUACGGCCGCAAGGCUGAAACUCAAAGGAAUUGACGGGGGCCCGCACAAGCGGUGGAGCAUGUGGUUUAAUUCGAUGCAACGCGAAGAACCUUACCUGGGCUUGACAUCCUAGGGAAGUCGGGUGGAAACAUCCGACGCCCUUCGGGGCUC
rnacentral:rRNA from 1 species